GUCUACUGCCACACCUCCCAGAAUGCACCUCAUCCCGGAAGCUAAGCAGGGUCGGCCGGGUUAGUACUCGAUGGGAGCAGCUAUCUGAGGAAAACCUGGCCUAAAUA
rnacentral:rRNA from 1 species